UGGGGAAUAUUGCACAAUGGGCGCAAGCCUGAUGCAGCCAUGCCGCGUGUGUGAAGAAGGCCUUCGGGUUGUAAAGUACUUUCAGCGGGGAGGAAGGGAGUAAAGUUAAUACCUUUGCUCAUUGACGUUACCCGCAGAAGAAGCACCGGCUAACUCCGUGCCAGCAGCCGCGGUAAUACGGAGGGUGCAAGCGUUAAUCGGAAUUACUGGGCGUAAAGCGCACGCAGGCGGUUUCUUAAGUCUGAUGUGAAAGCCCCCGGCUCAACCGGGGAGGGUCAUUGGAAACUGGGAGACUUGAGUGCAGAAGAGGAGAGUGGAAUUCCAUGUGUAGCGGUGAAAUGCGUAGAUAUAUGGAGGAACACCAGUGGCGAAGGCGGCUCUCUGGUCUGUAACUGACGCUGAGGCUCGAAAGCGUGGGGAGCAAACAGG
rnacentral:rRNA from 1 species